AUGGCUGUAGCAAUGAAACAGCAUGUGGCACAUAAGAAACCACCAAAACAAUACAGGAUCUUUGAGAGUGUUUUGAAAAUGGAGCUGAUCAUCCUUGCAAAUCCAACAGACAAAAAACAAAUCAAAACAGCAAUGGAUAGAAACUGAAAUGAAUUUGGAAGCUUGGUUUUGGUUUGAACAGACACUGUCGCUAUUCCUAUUGCCGACGAUAAACAGAAUCCAAUAAUCAUUUCUUUCCUCUCCUCCACCAUCUCCGCCACCACUUCCAAGCUCCGCCUCACUCCACCGUACGUCUGUCUAAACCAAACCGCCACAGUUAAAGCACACUGACCCAACAUUCUUC
rnacentral:lncRNA from 1 species